GCCGGUCCAAGGAGUUAGUUAGAAAUUGAAUUAAGUUUUGAAAUUCACUGAACAUUUAACCCAAAUUUUGAAUAGGUUCCACUUCAAACCAGCGAAAGAUCAAAUAAGAAAAGUUGUUUGUUUUGAAAAUUUCUACAACUUUUGUAUUGGUAAAAAGUUAAGUUAUUAUAUGAAAUUUUGAAUUUACCAACUGCCCCCAAUUGGUGCUUUUUAAGGCAUUUUUGGACACUUAGAG
rnacentral:lncRNA from 1 species